GUAGGGAAUAUUGCGCAAUGGACGAAAGUCUGACGCAGCGACGCCGCGUGAGUGAUGAAUGCCUUAGGGUCGUAAAGCUCUGUUGAAUGGGAAGAAAAAAAUGACGGUACCAUUCGAGGAAGGACCGGCUAACUUCGUGCCAGCAGCCGCGGUAAUACGAGGGGUCCUAGCGUUGUUCGGAAUCAUUGGGCGUAAAGGGUGUGUAGGUGGCCAUGUAAGUCAGGUGUGAAAGCCCCGGGCUCAACCCGGGAAGUGCACUUGAUACUGCGUGGCUUGAGUACCGAAGAGGGUAGUGGAAUUCCAGGUGUAGUGGUGAAAUACGUAGAUAUCUGGAGGAACACCGGUGGCGAAGGCGGCUACCUGGUCGAGUACUGACACUGAGACACGAAAGCAUGGGGAUCAAACAGGAUUAGAUACCCCUGUAGUCC
rnacentral:rRNA from 1 species